CCCAAAUAAACCAAAACCUCCUCAACUGGCCCGGCAUGGGCCUUGCUGCCUCAGCACCAACUGGUCUCCUCCUCCUCCAUCUCCUCUCUCCUCCCUCCAAUGAUUGCCUAUGGAUAGAAAAGGGCAAAAGCCCUGAGCUAUUAACACCAGAGUUCGUAUCGUAACGUAAAUUCGUGAGCCUGGUGUUGAUAGCUCAGGGCUUUUGCCCUUUUCUAUAUAUAUACAUAUACAUAUAUUUUUUCUUUUCUUUUUAUUUAUUUUUUUCUUUUUAUUUUUCUUCCUUUUCCUCAUACCUCAUAUCCACAAAUAAACAAAUAAACAAAUAAACACCAGAGUUUCAGCUCUUUGCUUCUAGAUAUACUAUUUGGUCUCGCCCACUGAUUGGCCCGUUGCUAUGCCUCGCCCCCAGAACGGCCACUGUCCAAUCAUACGUUAGCAACUGUAACUAGGCAACGCAGGUCAAGGUCAGCCUUGUGAAAGGAACCAGCAAGUCCACAACAGAUAUCAUCAAAGUUUAGAGAGUGUCAUAGUAUUUUCGCUUUUCUGAAGACAAAAACACAAGAGGAGCGAUGUUGAAUAUGGAUUAAACAGUGUGGAAGACGUUACUUACAGCUGAAUCCAUCAAAGAUCAACAAAAACUCCUUUGGUGUGCUCCAAGCUGCCACUGGUUGCUCUUGAUCUGCUGCAGCUCAUCAAACUUGGCAGUGACGUCAUCGAUGGAAAGCUGCAAGAGGUCCCAGAAUCCAGCCAGGUCCUGAGAUGUGGGUCUGGGCAUGGCACUGGGGUCCUGAAGAGACAGCGGAGCACCAAAAUUUGCAAAGAUAAAGUGCUGCUAGUAUGGAGGAGAUGAGAUGGAGACGGACUGGUACCUGGAGGAGGCUGAGCGCGGUCCACACUGCAGGAAGUAGGGAGACGAAACUGAAUCCCUGCAAGGAGCAAGCGACACCAGUUAGAAACGACAAAUGCAGGCCAACGAGAAGAAAAGUUUGCAGCCUCGUUGGAAACGUCGGGGCAGUGAAGUUGGCUCAAGAACAGGACUGCGAUGGUGUUUGGUCAUACAUAACCAACACAUUCUGGGCAAAGAAAUCCAGGAGCUAAACGAAGCGUAAGACGCUGUCAAAGCCUAACAGAACCGAUAAAAAUGAUUACAUAAUGAUUAACUACUGGUGCCAUUAAAGAAGGCAGUCUGUCAGUUAUUUUGAAGCCAGAGAUUGUGCCGACAUUAGUGGCCUUAAGAAGAUCGAUGGAAAGCUGUUUGGCCACAUUGUCAAGACGAAAAUCCCCUUGUUGCCCAUCGAGGAGCCUGUUUGAGGAGCAAUCCCUCCCACCCUGCUGGAUGCUGUUACACACACAUACAUACUGUAUGGACACGCACACACACACACACACACCUGCAUGGAUCGCUGUGAUUUGAGGGGGAUGAGAGGUGCUUUUCCUCCAAAACUGAAGGCAUGUAUUUUGUCAUAUCCGACAAAGAUCUGUUUUAUUUUCUACCCAUUGCGUUGAAUACUAAUCACCUAAUCUGCUGUGCCAACUUCUCAUCUACCUGUUAAAUUCACACACACACACACACACACAAGGAUGUAACAGUUCCAUAGAAAAUGAAAGCCCCC